rnacentral:rRNA from 1 species
GACGAACGCUGGCGGCGUGCUUAACACAUGCAAGUCGAACGGAAAGGCCCUGCUUUUGUGGGGUGCUCGAGUGGCGAACGGGUGAGUAACACGUGAGUAACCUGUCCUUGACUUUGGGAUAACUUCAGGAAACUGGGGCUAAUACCGGAUAGGAGCUCCUGCUGCAUGGUGGGGGUUGGAAAGUUUCGGCGGUUGGGGAUGGACUCGAGGCUUAUCAGCUUGUUGGUGGGGUAGUGGCUUACCAAGGCUUUGACGGGUAGCCGGCCUGAGAGGGUGACCGGCCACAUUGGGACUGAGAUACGGACCAGAAUCCAACGGGACGCAGCAGUGGGGAAUAUUGCGCAAUGGGCGGAAGCCUGAUGCGGAAACGCCGCGUGCGGGAUGACGGCCUUCGGGUUGUAAACCGCUUUCGCCUGUGACGAAGCGUGAGUGACGGUAAUGGGUAAAGAAGCACCGGCUAACUACGUG